rnacentral:rRNA from 1 species
CGACGGUUGUCCCGGUUUAAGCGUGUAGGCUGGUUUUCCAGGCAAAUCCGGAAAAUCAAGGCUGAGGCGUGAUGACGAGGCACUACGGUGCUGAAGCAACAAAUGCCCUGCUUCCAGGAAAAGCCUCUAAGCAUCAGGUAACAUCAAAUCGUACCCCAAACCGACACAGGUGGUCAGGUAGAGAAUACCAAGGCGCUUGAGAGAACUCGGGUGAAGGAACUAGGCAAAAUGGUGCCGUAACUUCGGGAGAAGGCACGCUGAUAUGUAGGUGAAGUCCCUUGCGGAUGGAGCUGAAAUCAGUCGAAGAUACCAGCUGGCUGCAACUGUUUAUUAAAAACACAGCACUGUGCAAACACGAAAGUGGACGUAUACGGUGUGACGCCUGCCCGGUGCCGGAAGGUUAAUUGAUGGGGUCAGCGCAAGCGAAGCUCUUGAUCGAAGCCCCGGUAAACGGCGGCCGUAACUAUAACGGUCCUAAGGUAGCGAAAUUCCUUGUCGGGUAAGUUCCGACCUGCACGAAUGGCGUAAUGAUGGCCAGGCUGUCUCCACCCGAGACUCAGUGAAAUUGAACUCGCUGUGAAGAUGCAGUGUACCCGCGGCAAGACGGAAAGACCCCGUGAACCUUUACUAUAGCUUGACACUGAACAUUGAGCCUUGAUGUGUAGGAUAGGUGGGAGGCUUUGAAGUGUGGACGCCAGUCUGCAUGGAGCCGGCCUUGAAAUACCACCCUUUAAUGUUUGAUGUUCUAACGUGGACCCGUGAUCCGGGUUGCGGACAGUGUCUGGUGGGUAGUUUGACUGGGGCGGUCUCCUCCUAAAGAGUAACGGAGGAGCACGAAGGUUGGCUAAUCCUGGUCGGACAUCAGGAGGUUAGUGCAAUGGCAUAAGCCAGCUUGACUGCGAGCGUGACGGCGCGAGCAGGUGCGAAAGCAGGUCAUAGUGAUCCGGUGGUUCUGAAUGGAAGGGCCAUCGCUCAACGGAUAAAAGGUACUCCGGGGAUAACAGGCUGAUACCGCCCAAGAGUUCAUAUCGACGGCGGUGUUUGGCACCUCGAUGUCGGCUCAUCACAUCCUGGGGCUGAAGUAGGUCCCAAGGGUAUGGCUGUUCGCCAUUUAAAGUGGUACGCGAGCUGGGUUUAGAACGUCGUGAGACAGUUCGGUCCCUAUCUGCCGUGGGCGCUGGAGAACUGAGGGGGGCUGCUCCUAGUACGAGAGGACCGGAGUGGACGCAUCACUGGUGUUCGGGUUGUCAUGCCAAUGGCACUGCCCGGUAGCUAAAUGCGGAAGAGAUAAGUGCUGAAAGCAUCUAAGCACGAAACUUGCCCCGAGAUGAGUUCUCCCUGACCCUUUAAGGGUCCUGAAGGAACGUUGAAGACGACGACGUUGAUAGGCCGGGUGUGUAAGCGCAGCGAUGCGUUGAGCUAACCGGUACUAAUGAACCGUGAGGCUUAACCUU